UACGUAGGGGGCAAGCGUUGUCCGGAAUCAUUGGGCGUAAAGAGCGUGUAGGCGGCCCGAUAAGUCCGCUGUGAAAGUCCAGGGCUCAACCCUGGAAUGCCGGUGGAUACUGUCGGGCUCGAAUCCGGAAGAGGUGAGUGGAAUUCCUGGUGUAGCGGUGAAAUGCGCAGAUAUCAGGAGGAACACCGGUGGCGAAGGCGGCAUCCUGGACCGGUAUUGACGCUGAUGCGCGAAAGCCAGGGGAGCAAACGGG
rnacentral:rRNA from 1 species